UUGAGAGCUCACUGGCUUCGGAGUCAUGGGAACUCCGAAGUUAAGCGAGUUGGGGCUAGAGCAAUCCCAAGAUGGGUGACCCACUGGGAAGUUGCUCGUGAGCUCCCAGA
rnacentral:rRNA from 1 species